rnacentral:rRNA from 1 species
AUCCAAGGUCAUACAACCUUGAAUGUGCCUGAUCUCGGAAGCUAAGCAGGGCUGCGCUUGGUAAGUACUUGGACAGGGGAAUGGGGUGAGGGUAGCGUCCUUCAGUG